CCUUAGCUCAGUUGGUAGAGCAAUGGACUGAAAAUCCAUGUGUCCCUGGUUCGAUUCCUGGAG
rnacentral:tRNA from 6 species